rnacentral:rRNA from 1 species
AGAGAGAGACAUGCGCGCAUAUCAAUAAGCGGAGGAAAAGAAACUAACAAGGAUUCCCUUAGUAACGGCGAGUGAAGCGGGAAGAGCUCAAAUUUGAAAUCUUCAAGGUUUUACCUUGACGAAUUGUAGUUUAAAGAAGUGUUUUCUGCUGAAGUUUUGGUAAAAGUUCUUUGGAAUAGGACAUCAUAGAGGGUGAGAAUCCCGUAUUUGACCAGUUAUUUUCAGCUUUGUGAUACACUUUCAAAGAGUCGGAUUGUUUGGGAAUGCAGUCCAAAAUGGGUGGUAAAUUUCAUCUAAAGCUAAAUAUUGGCGAGAGACCGAUAGCGAACAAGUACCGUGAGGGAAAGAUGAAAAGAACUUUGAAAAGAGAGUUAAACAGUACGUGAAAUUGUCAAAAGGGAAGCGUUUGACACCAGUGUUGUUUUCUCGAAAAUCAAUUAAAAAUGGCUCGAUUUUGUAUUGCUUGAGACCUUAAAAGCUCACUGUACAUUUUUCGUGUCUUUUUUAAUGCACUUUUCGUUUAACAAGUCAACAUCAGUUUCUUUUGUUGUAAAAGGGUCAUUGGAAGGUGGCUUUCUUUUCGGAGAAAGUGUUUAUAGCCUUUGGCCUCUGCAAUCGGAAGAGACUGAGGUCUGCAGCGUAGACUCUUCGGGGUUAGAUACAUUUGUGCUAAGUUAUAGCUUUUUAUAGACAACUUGUUGACUAUAAUUAGUCUUGUAGCUUACUCGCUUAUGCUAUUUUACCUACGCUUAGGAUGUUGAAGAUGUAGCACAUCAU